GAGUUUGAUCCCGGCUCAGAAUCAACGCUGGCGGCGCGCUUAACACAUGCAAGCCGAGCGAGAAAGGGAGCAAUCCUGAGUAAAGCGGCGUACGGGUGAGUAACACGUGGAUGAUAUGCCUUUUAGUGGGGAAUACCCUUGGGAAACCGAGGACAAUACCGCAUAAGCCCGAGAGGGGAAAGCCGAAAGGCGCUGAAAGAGUAGUCCGCGGCUGAUUAGCUAGUUGGUAGGGUAAAGGCCUACCAAGGCUGUGAUCGGUAGCCGCCUGAGAGGGCACACGGCCACACUGACACUGAGACACGGGCCAGACUCCUACGGGAGGCAGCAGUGGGGAAUCUUGCACAAUGGACGAAAGUCUGAUGCAGCGACGCCGCGUGAGCGAUGAAGCCCUUCGGGGUGUAAAGCUCUUUCGACAGGAACGAUAAUGACGGUACCUGGAGAAGAAGCUGCGGCUAACUACGUGCCAGCAGCCGCGGUAAUACGUAGGCAGCAAGCGUUGUUCGGAAUUACUGGGCGUAAAGCGUGCGUAGGCGGUGCCUCAAGUUUGGUGUGAAAUCUCCCGGCUCAACCGGGAGGGUGCGCCGAAAACUGAGGUGCUCGAGUGUGGGAGAGGUAGGCGGAAUUCCUGGUGUAGCGGUGAAAUGCGUAGAUAUCAGGAGGAACACCGGCGGUGUAGACGGCUUACUGGACCAUAACUGACGCUGAGGCACGAAAGUGUGGGGAGCAAACAGGAUUAGAUACCCUGGUAGUCCACACCCUAAACGAUGCAUACUUGGUGUGAGCCAUUCAUUUGGUUCGUGCCGGAGCUAACGCGUUAAGUAUGCCGCCUGGGGAGUACGGUCACAAGGCUGAAACUCAAAGGAAUUGACGGGGGCCCGCACAAGCGGUGGAGCAUGUGGUUUAAUUCGACACACGCGAAGAACCUUACCUGGGCUCGAACGGCUUAUGACAAGCGUAGAAAUACGUUCUUUCCGCAAGGAACUUGAGUCGAGGUGCUGCAUGGCUGUCGUCAGCUCGUGUCGUGAGAUGUUGGGUUAAGUCCCGCAACGAGCGCAACCCUUGCCCUGUUUUGCCAUCAUUCAGUUGGGAACUAUCAGGGGACCGCCAGCGAUAAGUUGGAGGAAGGUGGGGAUGACGUCAAGUCAUCAUGGCCCUUAUGUCCAGGGCUACACACGUGCUACAAUGGACGGUACAAAGCGCAGCUAACCCGCGAGGGGGCGCAAAUCGA
rnacentral:rRNA from 1 species